rnacentral:rRNA from 1 species
CCUACGGUGGGCAGCAGUGGGGAAUAUUGCGCAAUGGGCGAAAGCCUGACGCAGCGACGCCGCGUGAGGGAUGAAGGUCUUCGGAUUGUAAACCCCUGUUAGCAGGGAAGAACGGUCCCUGUGCUAACCAGCAGUGCAUUGACGGUACCUGCAAAGGCAGCACCGGCCAACUCCGGGCCAGCAGCAGGGGUAAUACGGAGGGUGUGAGCGUUAAUUGGAAUUAUUGGGCGUAAAGGGGGCGUAGGCGGGAUGUCGAGUGAAGGGGGAAAUCCCCGCGCUCAACGUGGGAACUGCCUUUGAAACUGGGGAGCUGGAGUGUGUGAGAGGAUAGUGGAAUUCCAGGUGUAGCGGUGAAAUCCGUAGAUAUCUGGCAGAACAUCGGUGGCGAAGGCGGCUAACUGGCGCAUAACUGACGCUGAGGAGCGAAAGCGUGGGUAGCGAACAGGAUUAGAUACCCUUGUAGUC